rnacentral:rRNA from 1 species
GGCCGCGGGAAUUCGAUUCAGGCCUAACACAUGCAAGUCGAGCGAUUUACUUCGGUAAAGAGCGGCGGACGGGUGAGUAACGCGUGGGUAACCUGCCCUGUACACAUGGAUAACAUACCGAAAGGUAUGCUAAUACGAGAUAAUAUGCUUUUAUCGCAUGGUAGAAGUAUCAAAGCUUUUGCGGUACAGGAUGGACCCGCGUCUGAUUAGCUAGUUGGUGAGGUAACGGCUCACCAAGGCGACGAUCAGUAGCCGACCUGAGAGGGUGAUCGGCCACAUUGGAACUGAGACACGGUCCAAACUCCUACGGGAGGCAGCAGUGGGGAAUAUUGCACAAGGGGCGAAAGCCUGAUGCAGCAACGCCGCGUGAGCGAUGAGGGCCUUCGGGUCGUAAAGCUCUGUCCUCAAGGAAGAUAAUGAC